ensembl:lncRNA
AGGUCAGUAUAGUAGACACAACAUGAGGUCAUUACGUUAGACACAACAUGAGGUCAGUACAUUAGACACAACAUGAGGUCAGUACAUUAGACACAACAUGAGGUCAGUACAUUAGACACAACAUGAGUACAUGAGAAACAACAUGAGGUCAGGACAUUAGACACAACAUGAGGUCAGUACAUUAGACACAACAUGAGGUCAUUACAUUAGACACAACAUGAGGUCAUUACAUUAGACACAACAUGAGGUUAGUUCUGUAGACACAACAUGAGGUCAGGAGACACAACAUUUUUUUUUUUUUUCUUUUCACCUUUAUUUAACCAGGUAGGCCAGUGGAGAACAAGUUCUCAUUUACAAUUGCGACCUGGCCAAGAUAAAGCAAAGCAGUUCGACACAUACAACGACACAGAGUUACACAUGGAGUAAAACAAACAUACAGUCAAUAAUACAGUAUAAACAAGUCUAUAUACGAUGUGAGCAAAUGAG